rnacentral:rRNA from 1 species
CCUACGGGAGGCAGCAGUGAGGAAUCUUGGUCAAUGGACGAGAGUCUGAUCCAGCCAAGUAGCGUGAAGGAUGACUGCCCUAUGGGUUGUAAACUUCUUUUAUAUGGGAAUAAAACGUUCCACGUGUGGGAUUUUGUAUGUCUCAUAUGAAUACGGCUAGGCUAACUACGUGCAAGCAGCCGCGGUUAUACGGAGGAACCGAGCGUUAUCCGGAUUUAGUGGGGUUAAAGGGAGCGUAGGUGGAUUGUUAAGUCAGUUGUGAAAGUUUGCGGCUCAACCGUAAAAUUGCAGUUGAAACUGGCAGUCUUGAGUGCAGUAGAGGUAAGCGGAAUUCGUGGUGUAGCGGUGAAAUGCUUAGAGAUCACGAAGAACUCCAAUUGCGAAGGCAGUUCACUGGACUGCAACUGACACUGAGGCUCGAAAGUGUGGGUAUCAAACAGGAUUAGAUACCCUGGUAGUC